rnacentral:rRNA from 1 species
GACGAACGCUGGCGGCGUGCUUAACACAUGCAAGUCGAACGGAAAGGCCCUGCUUGCAGGGUACUCGAGUGGCGAACGGGUGAGUAACACGUGGAUGAUCUGCCCUGCACUUCGGGAUAAGCCUGGGAAACUGGGUCUAAUACCGGAUAGGAGCCAUUUUUAGUGUGAUGGUUGGAAAGUUUUUUCGGUGUAGGAUGAGCUCGCGGCCUAUCAGCUUGUUGGUGGGGUAAUGGCCUACCAAGGCGGCGACGGGUAGCCGGCCUGAGAGGGUGGACGGCCACAUUGGGACUGAGAUACGGCCCAGACUCCUACGGGAGGCAGCAGUGGGGAAUAUUGCACAAUGGGCGCAAGCCUGAUGCAGCGACGCCGCGUGGGGGAUGACGGCCUUCGGGUUGUAAACUCCUUUCGCUAGGGACGAAGCUUUUUGUGACGGUACCUAGAUAAGAAGCACCGGCUAACUACGUG